GCGGGCGCGGGCGCGGGCAGGCGCAGGCAGUCGAGCACCGCGCCCUGGCCCGGCCGUUGGGCGCGCGGCGUCUCCAGGGUAACGCGGGCACCGGCGGGAGCGGCCGGGCCGGGCCGGGCCGCGCCGAGCUCUGGUGUCGCCGCCGGCGGCGCGGCGCGCCCCAUGGCCUCCCGCGACAGCGAUGCCAUUUCCUGGUACCAGAAGAAGGUCGGGGCCUACGACCAGCAGAUAUGGGAGAAGUCCAUCGAGCAGACCGAGAUGAAGGGCCUCAAAAACAAGCCUAAAAAGAAAGGUCACAUUCAGCCCGAUCUGAUCGAUGUCGAUUUAAUCAGAGGCUCCACAUUUGCCAAAGCCAAGCCUGAAAUCCCAUGGACAUCACUAACUAGGAAAGGGAUUGUGAGAGUUGUAUUUUUUCCAUUGUUCAGCCAGUGGUGGAUACAGGUUACUUCCCAGCGUAUUUUUAUGUGGCUUCUGGUGCUCUACCUUAUGCAAGUGAUAGCAGUUGUGUUGUAUUUCAUGAUGCCUGUUGUGAGUGCGAGUGAAGUCAUGGGACCAAUGUGCCUUAUGUUACUGAUGGGGACUGUUCACUGUCAGAUAGUGUCCACCCAGAUAAACAAACCCUCAGGGACCAAUGGACUCAGCAGGCGGCGGAGGAAAUUACGCAAAUCUGUGGGUGUUGAUGGGAACAGUUGGUCUUCUCCUGACAAAGCCAGUAAAGAAGAGCAAUCAGAAUCUGCAUCCAUUCUUGACAAUUUAUUUGGCACGCUCUUCCGAAGGAGAAUCAGAAGAGUAAAGCUGGUAGCUGAAAAAGGGACUGAGACAGAAAAUGAUGCAAGUGCUGUGAAUAAUGGUAUUAAACACAGACAUGCCAGGUCUGAAUACAGGCUGUUGCCCUUCAAGGAGAAAAAUAAACUUUCUGAUGGGGAAAAGAGUCAUCAGGAUGAGUGUACCAACAUAGGUGGUAUUUCUGAUGAGCUUUCAAGUGAGGAGGAUGCUGAAGCAAUGGCACAAAGGAGUGUGUUACGCCAGAGUGUAGAAGGGGCCUCCAGUGACAAUAGCUAUGAAGAUAAGAAAAAGAGGCCCCUUGUUUCCUUGAACCAGGCUGUCUCACAGGUCAAGCAAGCUCUUAAAGGGGCCAGAGACUCUGACAGUGUCGUGGAAUCUGAACUAGAAUCCACAUUAUAUAGUCAGGACUCGCGGUCCUGCAUUAGUGCAGGAUCCCGGAGCUGUAGUGUGACCCGGAGAGACUCCGAAAGUACCCGCCACGACUCUGAGACAGAAGACAUGCUUUGGGACGAUCUGCUUCACGGGCCGGAGUGCCGCUCGUCCUGCACCAGCGACAGUGAGGAAGUGACUGUGAGAGGGGCAAGGCGGGACUUGAAGGAAGAUGUUUUCCAGCAGAACCAUUUGUUUUGGCUACAGAAUACAAGUCCAGCAUCUGCAAAAGUCAGUGCACUGAUCUGGGAAGGAAAUGACUGUAAGAAGGUGGACAUGUCCGUGCUGGAGAUCAGUGGGAUUAUCAUGAGCAGGGUUAAUGCCUACCAGCAGGGCGUAGGGUAUCAAAUGCUGGGCAACAUCAUCACCAUUGGAUUAGCAUUCCUGCCAUUCCUCUACAGACUAUUCCGCACAGAUAACCUGGAGCAGCUGUGUUCCAUUUCUGUAAAGGAGCUUUUGCAUAUCUUUUGUGGGGCACCUGCUAGCACGCCUGUCAUUGUUUUGUCUGCUAUCAACUUCCUUGAACGACUUUGCUUAACCUGGAUGUUUUUCUUCAUGAUGUGUGUUGCUGAGAGAACAUACAAACAGAGGUUUUUGUUUGCCAAACUUUUUAGUCACAUUACAUCAGCUCGGAAAGCCAGGAAAUAUGAAAUUCCUCACUUCAGACUCAAGAAGGUAGAAAACAUUAAGAUCUGGUUAUCCCUUCGUUCUUAUCUAAAGAGGCGAGGCCCCCAGCGAUCUGUGGAUGUUGUCGUAUCUUCAGUCUUUUUACUGGCACUUUCAAUUGCUUUUAUAUGCUGCGCCCAGGUUCUCAAGGGUCACAAAACAUUUCUGAAUGCAGCUUACAACUGGGAAUUCCUGAUCUGGGAGGCAGCACUUCUUCUCUUUUUACUGCGCCUGGCAUCCUUGGGCUCUGAAACCAACAAGAAAUACAGUAAUAUUUCAAUCCUGCUCACUGAGCAGAUAAACUUAUACCUAAAGAUGGAGAAGAAGCCAAACAAGAAGGAACAGCUGUCGCUAGUAAACAAUGUUUUGAAACUAUCUACAAAGCUACUGAAGGAAUUAGAUACACCAUUUAGGCUGUAUGGACUGACCAUGAAUCCAUUAAUCUACAACAUAACACGUGUUGUGAUACUUUCUGCUGUCUCAGGUGUUAUAAGUGAUCUUCUAGGAUUCAAUAUCAGAAAUGAAGAAACAGUCCUGCUGUGUCUCACUUUUAAACCAGAGCUCACUGAGCAGAGCAUUCAUGCAGGAUAGACAAAGGAGAAAGAAUCUUGCCUGUAGAUGAAAAGCAUUCAGACCUAUGGCUCCCUGCAGACUGCCAAAACCCCAUUUCCUCAUAUUGAACCUAUUCCACUCUGCACACAGUAUUUUUCUGCCUGCUCAAAAGUUAUGGAAAAUUAAACCAUGAACUGACCAACAUCAGUAUUCAGCCCUCUCCAGCAGAAGUACAAGACCAGAGAAGAUAACCAAUGGCUUGGGCAAAAAGCAGAGGUGCUCAAAUUAUGGAAAUCUGUAACUACGACUUCUUUACCAGAUUCUCCAUGUAUGUAUCAAAGGUUUUUCCCUCUGCUUUACUGUUCUACAACAUACAGAAUAAGCUGGUCUAACUAGUAAAGUCACCCCAUGAUAUGCACAUGUAGUAAAACAAAAUAAAUGGGGCCAAAUACCAGUAGCUUGCAUUGAAAACAACAGGAACUAUGUGCCCAUACUUUGGGGCAUUAAACACUAAAAGCACUGCUGCAGCUCUUACCGGAAGGAAACCAGAUGAUAGCUACAGGUGCCUUGUUUCUUUAAGAUCUGAAUCCUGUGCACAUGACUAGUGAAGAGUCCGUCCUGCUGUUUCACUUAGCAUCCUCUCUCAGAGCACUCUGGAACUGUACUCGCAUUUUUCAAAUUUCUGCAGGCUUCUUCAAAGCUCUUCUCAGAUAGAUCAAGUCAUACAUAGAUGCAUCUAUCUGAAUGUGCCGAAGAAUAUUUCUUUACUUACUUAAAAGCUCAGUGUGCUUUAGGCUUUGCCUCUUUAUCCUGAGCUACUGAAGGAUGCAGUGAAAUUCAGUCUGCAUGAGAUAAACAUUUCCUCCAUGUUGACCGUUAAGCUUGCAGCUGCAUAGCAGCAGUGUAACAGAUUCAUGCUGAAUGGCUUAUGUUAGGUCUUCUGCAAAUAAAUGAUGAUGAUGAUCAUUUUUUGAAAACAUCAGUUAUAUGAAAACAACCUUACAACACAGACUACAAGUAAAGCAUCCAUCAACUAGAGAAUACUGCUUGUGUUCACUCCCUGUAACUCCUCAGCUGUGUUUAUACUGAGGAUGCUUCUUAGGUUUUUCACUCAGUGGGCAGUUAAUAGCUUGUGCUAGGUACGACGGGCAUCCUGUCAUAACCUCUUCUGACAACCAGCUUAACUCGGUGGUCUGGAAAGCUGUUGAAGCUUUGCACUGCAAUAGUUAGUGCCUUACACUGGAAUACCGAAGAAAAAGAUCUGUUGUGAGGAUCAGGUCACUGGAAGAGAUAUGACAAAGACGUUCCCCCAUAAAAAGUAGAUUAUUAUUUAGAAAUGGUACAGGAGAGAAACAAAAUGUUUUAAUGACAUAUGUUAAACAUGUUUUCCUUCAGUUUUGGUAACUCUGCUAUCUUCUAGUAUAUUAGUAAUGAAAAAAAGAAAAAAAACACAGGAACUUUCAUAGCUUCAUUCUUUCACAUAGGAGGUAAGAUGGAAAAGGAGUUUUUGAUAGUAAAUUGUUUACAGGUAUUUUCUGUACAAGGAAAGGUUUAAGAUGUAAAAGAAAGUGACAAUUUUAUAUAUCAAAAUGUACAAAUAAACCUACAGUACAAGUAUUUCAUCAUAAACAAUUUAUACUACACGAUUUGAUGUUUUUUAUAGUAGCUUUGCUGAACAACUGUUACCUGAACAAGGAGGCAAGGAACCUUCCAAUAAUAAAUUGCAUUUGUUUUCCAGAA